UACGUAGGUGGCGAGCGUUAUCCGGAAUUAUUGGGCGUAAAGAGCGCGCAGGUGGUUGAUUAAGUCUGAUGUAAAAGCCCACGGCUUAACCGUGGAGGGUCAUUGGAAACUGGUCGACUUGAGUGCAGAAGAGGGAAGUGGAAUUCCAUGUGUAGCGGUGAAAUGCGUAGAGAUAUGGAGGAACACCAGUGGCGAAGGCGGCUUCCUGGUCUGUAACUGACACUGAGGCGCGAAAGCGUGGGUAUCAAACAGGAUUAGAUACCCU
rnacentral:rRNA from 1 species